AAUAUUUCGAAAAUUAUGAUAUUUUGUCCUCUUUUAUUAUAGUGAUUUUAUAAUUGUGAACAGAUGACAACUCGAUGGCUCGCUGUGAGAAUUUAAUCGAUCGAUCGUUGAUGAUCGUAGCAAAUGAAUAAAUAGGUAGACAAGCAUCAACUUUUCAGCUGCCCGAUCGUUCACCUCAAUUGUCAACCGAACCAUCGGGAAUACAAUCGAUAAAAGCUUCAAACUUAACUCGUAAUUUGUUCACCAAAAAAAUUGAUUCGACGUUAUCACGCGCGUCGUUCGAACAAGAAAGAAACUACUGGAAGAUUCCAUGAAUGCGUUCACGACCAACGAAAGCUGGCAUCGAUCGAAUCUUCGACCUUACACGGUCGUAGUCGAAUAGACGGAAGUGGACACGGCGCCAUUUGCGGAGGACGCCGUAUCCUCCUUUUGUCAGCAAUUCGUCGUUGCUGCUGAGCUCUGACGAAGCAUCGCCGAAGAAAUUUCGUUACUUUCCAACCACCUGGCGACUUCCGGUGGCAUCUGCGGUCGGACAUGAGAUUUUACCUGAGUUACACCCGCCUCCACGUUACCGUUCUGCUUGACGCCUCGUUCCAUAAGGGAACCGAUCACAGCCUCGGCGCUACAAUCCAAAAGCCUUUGUCUGCACAUCGCGAUGGCCCUGACGAAUCCGUCGCUGGGAGUGAUGAACCGAUGUUCCAUGAAUACGGACUUCUCAUCCCAAUAUAUUAUCUGCAAAGAUACAUGCCACGAAAACAUCGAAUGGUUAAAUAGGCAAAGUUACUUGUAAUAACCUUAUGGGCGCAAUUAACUCUUCUCCUUUAUAAUGGAAAAGUGUAACCGGUUUUGAUUUGAUAUUCCACUUGCACCAUGAUAAAAGUGAUAGCGAGAAUACAUUUUGGAUACAAUGCGUCAUAUGAUCAUCGGAGUGCAUACAAAACUAUAGUGGCGAAUACUUGGACAGCUUCGACUCUCUAAAAUAGUACCAGCAACGAUUUGCACACUAAGUGUCAACAAGUUCGUUUCCUUCUCGGUCUUACCGGUUUUCCUAGAAGUUAUCGAGAACAAAUGCUGAUAAUCGACCGGAUACCGAGAUCUCUGUGUCGAAGAAUCGUAAAAAUUUUCUAUGGUUUCUCAAGUCGAUCAGACAGAGAACAACGAACGUGACUUUGUAAUACGAUUUUACGUGAUCAAACUCGCAUACCUUAGAAGUUAUUUUGAAGAUGGACAGAGGUUUCAGGAAACGGCGAUAACGAAUGGUCGACGCUCCUUGUACGACGCCCGAUCCUUGCGAGCAGAUCUCGCGAUAGAGGCUCGUCCUUUCGUAAAAAUCCGCCCUGGCGAAAUCGAUCUCGCGAAGAUAUCUCGCAUUGUUCAUGUGAUAAAGUAAUGUGUCCACGUCCGUCGUCGUGCAAAUACCUGCGAAAAGUAAACAUUAGUACAACCGUGGAAGUAAAUAGAAUGAGAUAAACGAUGAUUAUUCUUUUAUUAUGUAUGUUUCAAAGACCAAAAGGUUAAAGUUAAAUAUGAAUUUUCGAAGGGUGAUGUCAUGAAUUGUUUUUGACACGCAAUUGCAAAACGCACCUUGCGAUUUUCCAUGACGGUCAAGAGAAUUAAGGAUGCAUGAUUUCAACCUAAUAAUGACUAACCGCAAUCGCGUAUCAUGCCUCCGAUUAAAAGAAUACUUUAGAAAACUUUUCUGAUUUGAACUAAUACGAUUAAAAACAAUUAAUUGGAGAUUUAAGAAGAUAAGAUGGAAUAUAUGGAACAGGGAAUGAUGAAAAGGUUGUUUGAAUCGAGUCGCUACAAGGACAGAUAAAUAAAAGAUCAGUAUUUGCUAGAAUAUAAUAAGCAUAUUAAGUAACCCAAGAGUUUAAUAUUCUUUGUUUGUCUCGCGUGUCAUGUAAGUCCUGACAAAAGUGUAUGUUCUUUCGUAGAUAAUUUCUGGAAUUCAGACCACCGUGUAUAGGAUGAAAACGUUACUGAAAGAAAAGACGAAUACUGAUAAAAUACGUUGCAAAAUUUACGUCGUUUACAUUUCGAUCUGUUGGUCCAGCUUUGUAGAAUUUCGCAGCACAGUACUGCACAAUCAAUACUCGUACGGAUUUGCGACACGAGCAACCGACCGGCCAACUGAUCGCGCAUGGGUUAAGCAGCCAACAUACCGUAAACGGUGGUCUCAUCGAGGAUAUGAACCUUCUUCUUGCAGAAACGUGCAAGGAACACGGUCAAGCACAUACGCAAGAAAUAGUGAACUUCUAUUAGGCCAUAGAGCAGCACGAUAGCUCCAGAUACACCAGCCAACACCCAGCAGGUUAUCAUCAUGAUGAAGUUCGCGAUUCACAGGUCCUCAAAUUCGAACAGGAGUAUGAUCCCCGCGUGGUCAGGCUUUGGAAUUCCUCCACCGUCGGGAAGCCACACUCCACUUUAUCGAUUCGUCGUCGAUUCUGACUGCGUUUCCUGGCUCGCUUCUCGCCGAUGAAAAGCCAAGUUGCUCGAUUAGCAUGUCAAAGGAUCGUAGGUGGAUCGACGCACCAUGACGAUCAACAUUAGUUCCAAAUACAUCGGUACAUGCCGGACGACCAUUGAACGCAUCAAGAGAUAAUGCAGCCCGUGUCCGGCCUUCUUUUAUAUACGAAGCACCUCGUACCUGAAAUGCCAGAAGCAAUACCAUUUAAAUACUCAGACAAAAAGUAUCGAGUGUCACGUUUUCAUGGAGUACGUUUCUCAUUGUAAUUGUGCACAUGGAAUAUUCCACUCGAGUCGUGCGAUACGACGUUUUUAAUGCUAGGAAGCAAAUGUUCAAUAACAAGGGACAGAAGCAAGACAGUGAUUAUCUCCUUCUUGACAACGAUCACUCUGCGGAAGAACUCGGCAGGCGAAGCACUUUGGAAACUAACAAAGUAAUAAAAUGUCCGAAAUGUGCACUCACUAAUUAACAGUGUAAAUAUUAGGAAUACGAGUUUGGUAUGAUCACGCGAUGCUUUCCUGCCAAGUGGCAGGGGAUCGUUGACGAAUAAG